GACGAACGCUGGCGGCGUGCUUAACACAUGCAAGUCGAACGGAAAGGCCCUGCUUUUGUGGGGUGCUCGAUUGCCGAACGGGUGAGUAUCACGUGAGUAACCUGCCCUUGUCUUUGUGAUAACUUCAGGAAACUGGGGCUAAUAUCGGAUAGGAGCUCCUGCUGCGCGGUGGGGGUUGGAGAGUUUCGGCGGUUGGGGAUGGACUCGCGGCUUAUCGGCUUGUUGGUGUGGUAGUGGCUUACCAAGUCUUUGACGGGUAGCCGGCCUGAGAGGUUUACCGGCCACAUGGGUACUGAGGUACGGACCAGAAUCCUAUGGGAGGCAGCGGUGGAGAAUAUUGCACAGUGGGCGGAAGCGUGAUGCAGCAGCGCCGCGUUCGGGAAAACGGGCUUCGAGUGGUAAACCGCUGUCGCCUGAGACGAAGCGUGAGUGACGGUAAUGGGUAAAGAAGCACCGGCUAACUACGUG
rnacentral:rRNA from 1 species